CCUAAAAAAAAAAUUCCUUCUUUUUUUUUUUCUCUAAAGUCCUCUCAUUGUCCGGCCAAGGGGUCCGGCAAACCUCUGCUGCCGCUACCGGUCACCGGCGACGGGGACAGCUGCCUUAGGUGGCCGGAGUUUUUUUUUCUUAUAAAUUUUAUAUUUUUAAGAUCAUUAGAGCUUGAUUUAGCUAAACUAUAUAACAUUUAUGCAAAACUGUUAAGUUUUCAAACUGGAAAUGUUGAUCUUUUGAUCAAGUUACUUAAGGUUUGUCCAGAGGCUAUUGCAGAUGUGACUGUUCGAGAUGAGACAAUAUUCCAUCUUGAUGUGAAAAACGACAUGUUUGAAGCUUUCCAAGUCUUGGUGGGGUGGCUUAAGAGAAGCUGCAUGAGCCUGCCCAACGUUGGGAGAAUGAACUACUGAGUUGGGCAGACAUUGAUGGCAACACCGUGCUACACAUUGCAGCUAUCAGAAACAGAGCUCGGGUGGUAGAAGUCUUGUUGGAACACAUGCGGCCAGACCAAAUCAAUGCCUAAAAUUUGGAGGGAUUGACAUCACUAGAUAUCCAAUCACAAUACCCAUGCAAUGAAAGGCAAGCGGAUAAGAUUAUAGAUAUGCUAAGCAAAGCAGGAGGUUUGAGUGGUUGCUCUUCCUCGCUUCCCAAUACCUCCAUCUCUUCAUCCCACAUUGAAUUUUUGAAAAAAAAAGAUGUCACGGUCUCAAAAAUGGGCAACAAAAGCAGAUCGAGGAAAGAAAGGCAUCCCAUAUGAGAUGCGUAACACAUUUCUAGUAGUGACAGUCAGACAGUGCUAAUUAUAACAACCACUUACGAAGCAUGCACGAUGGCAGUCCAUGUCCAUCCCUGAAAUACCAAAGUCUCUUUAAGUCAAGAUCAGCCUCUCAAUUUCCACACAGUUUCGCAUAAAACCGACAUCAAUACUGCACCCAUACCCAGUCCCUCCGCAACGGAUUUAUUUGAUCUUUCCUCA